UUUAAUGAUGAUGGGGAUUUUGGAGAUUACGAUGAGGAUGUACAGCUCCCUCUUCUGAUUAAGCUGAAGAGAAUUGCUGGCAGAAUCGAACCUAAAUCACUAGCCACUACUGAGUU
rnacentral:snoRNA from 1 species